UUUUUUUUUUUUUUUUUUUUUUUCUGUCAACCACCACUUAUUUUCAUUAAUUGCCUGUUUAUACUCUUACACCAACACGAGAAAAAAUCUUGAACUUGUGCAUAUUCUCACCCUUCCCUUUCUGAGUCAUGCAAAAACCCUUUACAUCCAAAGACUAUUCCAGAGAGCACGCGCUCCAACCAAGCGAGUGUGAAGUCGGAGGAGCUAAAGGCUAUGAGAGGAGACCAGAAGCUGUGGCAUGGGCAUGUUUCCUUUGUUGGGAUUCUUUCCUGCACUACUAGAAACCUUCAGGGAGGUGCUUUCAAGAUACUUUAAAAAAAAAAAAAAAAGGGAAUGAAAAAAAGGCUUAGGUGAAAAAGCAGAUGCAAAUUUUGUCACAGAUCUUCCAUGCCCGGCAGAAAUAGCAGCCCAUUUUGCUAUGGAACAAAGUGUCAGUUCAUCUCUCCCCACCCUAGAAAAACGAUAAGUGGGUGAGAAAAACACUUCAGAAAAACCAAAUGGUUGGGUGGGAUCACAAGUGAUACAAUGAAAGGGGGAAAAGUAAACAGUGUCGAAAUAGGAAAUGGAGGUGGUAAAAAGCAGGACUGCUGGGGUUGCGGAGGUUACAUUAAAGAGGAAAACAAGAGCCAUGUCUGCAUCCCAAGAUCCCUCCAAAAGUAAAGAAAUUCGCCUCAGCCUGUGCAGCUGCCUGAAUUGAGGACUUCUCUGCAGACCACAUCAAGGCACUGCCUGCAACUUCUAGGUGCUCUAGAGCAACACAAGCAUCAAUACACAACACAGAAAAGAAGAAAGCAAAAAACACUUCUGUGCUAUGGGACUGCAGAGUGGAAAGGGCUGACUUCUAAGGCUGUGUUCCUGAGAGCCUGGAUGACCCAGGCUGACAGCUGGGGCAUGCGUGCUGCUGCACAGCCUGGCCAUGCUCCACAAAUCCAGAAAGCAGCUUCUUCUGCCCUCAGCCUUGGGGCCUUGGUGUGCCCUCUGCUCUCUCUGGCACUGGCAGCAUCUGGUGAGCCACACAACAUCCACCUAACCCUCCUGCAGUGGCCCCAGCUGUUCUCCUGACCUGAACUGCACAUGUCCUCUUACACACCCUGCCUUGCUCAGCACUUCUCUGGUCACCAAGGCGGACACAAGGUCUGAAUCUUUUACUUCCUUUCCAAGCUCCUGGCUUUGGGGCCAUCGUAUUAUUUACGAUGUCACAGUGCGAAGGCCAGGAAUGAGGGAGGUUUGCAUUCCAAGAGAGCCACUUCUUUCCCAUGAAAACUAUGCACAAUCCUAACACCCAGAGCAUGUUUUCUACUACAGACAAAUAAUUUCCAUGUUACGUGGUCUUGGGCCACCAAUAACCUGAAGAUAAAACUGGAAAUACAGCUGAAGGCCUGAAGAUUGUACAGCCUGCUGCCUGGAUGCCUGCAGGUCCCAUGCCUUGAUGACAGCACCAUUUCACACUACAUGAUUCCUUCACAGUUCAAUUAAACUAGAAAGGGAUGGCAGAAGACACCUGUGACACUAAGGUCACCAUCGUUUCGACAAUGCUGUCAGGCACAUGGUGGAUGGAGCUGUGAAGGGCCAGGACCUGCAUCCAGUGAUCCUUGUGGGUCCCUUCCAGCUCAGGAUAUUCUGCGAUUUUGUGAUCCUGCUGAAACCCUUGAGGGCAUUAGAACCAGGAAAGAUUUUUUUUUUCCUCAUACAGAACAAAUGUUCAUUUUGAUCCUAGAAACAGCAGUUGCUUUGGCUGAAACCUCUCUGUUUAAACAGACACCCAAAUAAGAACAUCAGAAGGAAUGUCCUUCAUAGGUAACAGUAAUCUUGCCACCUGUAGUUCUUUUUUAUCCUUGAGAUGUCUGUAGCUUUACAGUAAAUUAGGGUGGGUUUUUUUCUUCUUUUUGUUUUUAUUUUUAAAAUCUCAGAAUUUAAAUAUGUUGAAACAGGAAGCAUGCUUCAUUUAAGUGAUGUCAGAAUUUCUUUCUUGAGCUGUUUCAUGGGAAGAAUCCUUACUUCUUCUCUGUUUACACUGAAGGUUCAUGAAGCCAAUGUAAACAGCAAAAUGAGUGUAAACACCAGGGAUUAACUUUAGGAGAUUUGAAAGCAACAAGGCUUGCCUUAAUAAAAUCAAGCAAAUAAUUAAGCAGCAAGGUUUGCUUUAAUAAAAUUAAGCAGAUAGUUUAGUAUUUCUA